UACGUAGGGUGCAAGCGUUGUCCGGAAUUAUUGGGCGUAAAGAGCUCGUAGGCGGUUUGUCGCGUCUGCUGUGAAAACUCGGGGCUUAACUCCGGGCCUGCAGUGGGUACGGGCAGACUAGAGUGCGGUAGGGGAGACUGGAAUUCCUGGUGUAGCGGUGAAAUGCGCAGAUAUCAGGAGGAACACCGGUGGCGAAGGCGGGUCUCUGGGCCGUAACUGACGCUGAGGCGCGAAAGCCAGGGGAGCAAACGGG
rnacentral:rRNA from 1 species